CUCCUACGGGAGGCAGCAGUGGGGAAUUUUGGACAAUGGGCGCAAGCCUGAUCCAGCCAUGCCGCGUGUGUGAAGAAGGCCUUCGGGUUGUAAAGCACUUUCGGACGGAACGAAAUCGCGCGCAUGAACAAUGCGCGUGGAUGACGGUACCGUAAGAAGAAGCACCGGCUAACUACGUGCCAGCAGCCGCGGUAAUACGUAGGGUGCAAGCGUUAAUCGGAAUUACUGGGCGUAAAGGGUGCGCAGGCGGCCCCGCAUGUCAGGCGUGAAAUCCCCGGGCUCAACCUGGGAAUGGCGUCUGAAACUACGGGGCUGGAGUGUGGCAGAGGGAGGUGGAAUUCCACGUGUAGCGGUGAAAUGCGUAGAGAUGUGGAGGAACACCGAUGGCGAAGGCAGCCUCCUGGGCCAACACUGACGCUCAUGCACGAAAGCGUGGGGAGCAAACAGGAUUAGAUACCCUGGUAGUCCACGCCCUAAACGAUGACGACUAGUUGUUGGGGGAGUUAAAUCCCUUAGUAACGCAGCUAACGCGUGAAGUCGUCCGCCUGGGGAGUACGGUCGCAAGAUUAAAACUCAAAGGAAUUGACGG
rnacentral:rRNA from 1 species